AACGCGAAGAACCUUACCUACCCUUGACAUCCUAGGAAUCUGGCAGAGAUGCUGGAGUGCCGAAAGGAACCUAGAGACAGGUGCUGCAUGGCUGUCGUCAGCUCGUGUUGUGAGAUGUUGGGUUAAGUCCCGUAACGAGCGCAACCCUUAUCCUUAGUUGCCAACAUGUAAUGGUGGGGACUCUAAGGAGACUGCCGGUGAUGAACCGGAGGAAGGCGGGGACGACGUCAAGUCAUCGUGGCCUUUAUGGGUAGGGCUACACACGUGCUACAAUGGGGCGUACAGAGGGAAGCCAACUCGCGAGAGGGAGCCGAUCCCAGAAAGCGUCUCGUAGUCCGGAUUGGAGUCUGCAACUCGACUCCAUGAAGUCGGAAUCGCUAGUAAUCGCGAAUCAGAAUGUCGCGGUGAAUACGUUCCCGGGCCUUGUACACACCG
rnacentral:rRNA from 1 species